UACGAAGGGGGCUAGCGUUGCUCGGAAUCACUGGGCGUAAAGCGCAAGUAGGCGGCUUUCUAAGUCAGGGGUGAAAUCCUGGAGCUCAACUCCAGAACUGCCUUUGAUACUGGAAAGCUUGAGUUCGGGAGAGGUGAGUGGAACUGCGAGUGUAGAGGUGAAAUUCGUAGAUAUUCGCAAGAACACCAGUGGCGAAGGCGGCUCACUGGCCCGAUACUGACGCUGAGGUGCGAAAGCGUGGGGAGCAAACAGG
rnacentral:rRNA from 1 species